CCCCUGUGGACAGCUGUGCUAUUUGCCUGCUUUGUUUUUUUCUCUCUCUUACCUCUUAUUUCCCUGUUCUCUCCACCAAUGCAUUCAGAUCCCCGGGAUGGAGUGCGCUGAUACUGCUGCGUUCUUCCUGCACCAACUGUCCGGGCGGCUCAGCAUGUUCUACAGAACAGCAUGCCUUUGGGAAUGCUUGGAGUAUGUAGCCUGACAGCAAGAGAACACUGCGCUCUUCUGGCUAUUUCUCAACAUGUCAGAGGGACAGGAGUGUGCUCAGCCUUGUGUGGUUGCACGUAUGCAAAAAUCCCUAUCGCAGCUGUAAACAUCUUUGUUGUUCUGCUUUACAGCAGUAGUGUGUGACGAGAAGCCUACCACUAUCAAUUUAGAGGAGUGCACGGAAGCUUUUGGGCAUGAUUUAUCCUCACUGUACCUCACACUGGGUGGGAAAAGUUGGCACUGGAUCUCACAUAGCAGCUUGUAACAAAGCUCUUGCGCAAUAAAGAAGCAUUUCAACCGCUGCUUCUUGCAGCAGUACAGUGUUUCCAAAGAGAGAAAAACACCACUACUGGCAUAAACUGGAUUUCUGCUGUUGGUUGAGCAUGUGCAGUGGAAUUGCCAGGUCACAGCCUGAGCCAGUACGUGAGCACAUGAGUGCCUGGAGCUGGGGGAGCCUAGAUCCACCCUUCCUCUUUCUCCGUCCCCGCAGUGCUUCUGGGAGCGCAGUCAGUCCGCAGGGGUCUCCUCAGCCCCCUCCCCGCGCCCCCCCAGGCCCGUCCCCCCCUUCUUCCAGCGAUCCAGAUUUCGAAGCGGAGAAGGCUGUGUUCCUCAGCUCACCCCUUUCUUCCAAACUCUCGCUCGGAGGGGUGAGUUGAUUGCUCUUUCUUUGAUAGCUUGUCCUAUAGUGCCUAGAUCUCAGAGAAAGGCUCUGUCAUUGCCCUUGUUUGCUUUACAGCAUGUCAGAGGUCGGUCAUUGCUAGGAAAGCUUGUGCUUUAAAGCACCAGGUUGUAUAGAGAAGGUAAUUCUAAAAGCGAGCUUGCCAGUUCUUUUUUACCUAAGUGGUUUUUGAGCAAGGAAAGAUUGGAGAUGCUGUUUGCUCAUGGAAGAUGGAGAGGAGGAAAAGCAAGUAAGACGCAUGCUGUGCAUAGCCACUGCAUGCCACCUGCACCAUUUCCCCCCUGAACAAAGGAAGAGCAGCUCAGCGAGCGUGGCCUGGGCCAUCGAAGGGAACAUCCAAACAUCUGGACCAACACCAAAUGGCUUAAUUCCGUAUGUUCGUUGUUUCUCUGUUGUUUGUCUCACAUCCUUCUGGAAAGAAAGCAGGAGGAGACAGACCUCCGAUUUGAUCCUGUUGUGUGUGAUGAUUACGGCCAAGGGGCAGAAGUUGGUGCUUAGGCAGGGGUAAAGCUAGGAAAGCUAAGCCUCGUCGAGGAACGAGAGAUUACAGUAGAGCUCAUUCUACAUGGCUGUUCAGCACGUUGAAGGUAUUUAUCGUGCAGCAGGAUCUGUCUGGCUGCAGGAACAUGGUCGGAUACGUUGAUUCCAGUAGAAACUCAGUAAGCAGCGGCGGUGUGUGCAAAGUGCUGAUUGUAAUGGACUUCUGCCGAGGUGAGUGGGGGCUCAGCGUGUUGCUCAGUGGUAGGUUUGGUCAUUUUCAGUGCUGACAGGAAACGUGCAUGCAAGGAGUGACCAGAAGGGUUGGAGCCAGGGUCCGCCCCUUCUGAGACCCCCUUGAAGGGCUGGCAGUGGAGGGGCAAGGGUAUGUCGCUGGAGAUCCCUGCAUACCUGAAACCUGCUGAAGUUAGGCAGCUUCUUUCCUUUCUUUCUCUGCCCACAGCUUUUGCAUGUGAGCAAAUCCUCACUUGCUGCAGCCUAGGACCUUGCUGUCAUUGCUGCGCUUUCCAUCACGUUGCAGUACCCAAGCAGGAGGCUUACUUCUCUCCUCCUGCACGGGCACAACCACUUCAAAGCAUCUCUUAAGAGAGAGAUUACUUUGUUCAACCAGUACUGGCAGCAAAGUUAUCACUUGCGAUCACUGAGCCAUUUCAGCACAUUUUUUUAAUAGGUAAAAAGUAUCAAGGGAAGAUUUCUGCCUUUACCUGGACGAACCUGUCCACCGUGUUCUGGGUCAGGCCUUCUGACUUCUUCUUGGCUUUGCUUAUCCUACUGAACAAAAUUUAAACAAAUAAAGAAUGAGAAAUAAAAAUAGGUGGAAGUCAGCAAACACUUGUUUCUCCCCUUUCACGCCCACGACAUCAUUCUUCACUUGAGAGUAAAGUUCACAUGGCAGCAGGUUUACUCCCUUACGCAGUGUGAUCCUACAGAGCGAGGUAUGAGUUGGCUCCAUCAGCGCUCAACUCCACAGCACUGUCUACUGGGAAGAUGAGGGCUGCCCCUCCGAAAUGCUGAGACAAGCUUUGGUAACAAGAGCCCAGCAUCGCCGAGUUCAUGACCAAAACUUUUUGCAAAGCAAAUACGACAUUUCCUUCAGAGCUUCAUCUGUAGACCCACGUCACACUUUGACGUUUCCUUCGCUCCUUUAAUAAAUAUUCCCACUACAGACUUCUGACUUACACAGUGCUCCAAAAUCUUGCCUGCGCUGUUGAGCCUAACUCUCGCAUCAGGCUGACCCCAUUCUCAUACACAUAACGGCACCAAAAGCUGGAGCAGGUUAUUCCAGGCACACAAGCGUGACCGGAGAACAAGCUCCAAAGCAUACUGAGACCUUACGUGCUUCCUGCAAGGCUCUGACAGCGCCACUCUCCCCAGUACUGGACACAGACUCCGUAAACUGCAUAGUCCAGAGCCAAGGUGGAAAAAAAUAAAAGCAGGUACUUGCUCCAGCAUCAUACCAUGCUGCCCCCUGGACCCACCAUGGACCAAUUAAAGGUCAACCAGGGGAUCGGGCCCAGUCAGCAUGGGCUGACGAACGGUAGAUCCAGUUUGACAAACCUGAUUCCAUUCUGUGACAAGGUGACCCGCUUAGCGGAUGAAGGUAAGGCUGUCGAUGGGGUCUACCUGGACUUCAGUAAAGCCUUUGACACUGUACCCCACA